CUUUUAUCUGGGGAUUUUAGAAGAGAAUCGUAUGAGGGGAACGUGAAAAGGAGCGUGAGUUUUUAAAGAGAGCGAGGUGGCUUAAACCCAGGGAAUCGGGGGGAGGAGGGGGAGACUAACAAAGAUUACACGUGUGCUGCAUGCGGACCGUUUAAUAAUCCGGUUUCUGUUAUUGCAAAUCAGGAGAAGAAUCGAAGGAGCCGCGUUUUGCAGCUGAGCUGUUCUGUGAGCUGCACGGAUCAGUUGAUGUUUGUCCAGGGGACGGAGCUGUGCAGAUAAGAGGAGGCUGAAAGAGAGCCGGGGAGAAGACGUUAAUGGGCAGAGGAUGCUGUCGGUUAAAAUGGUGCAUACAAAUGGCGCUGUCUUGGCAGCGCAGGGGGAAGAUUUAUGGGCCCGCUGUCCUAUAUUGCUGUAAACAAUGCAGAGUGAAAUGAAAGGAGCAGAGUUUGCAGACUGCACUUCAUAAGUGAGGAGAAGACGCACACUGUUUGUUUCCUAAACAUCUUGUGACUUGCGUGUUUCUGCAUUAACAUGGAGGAUUAAUUUGCGCUAACUGUAAAUCAGAAUGCGGGCUUAACAUAAAUAAUGCAGCUCGGAGCAAACAAACAACUUUGGGGUCUGCAUGGAAAAAAUAAAACAAUUAACAUUGAA